rnacentral:tRNA from 1 species
GAGACUAUGGUCUAAUGGUAAGGUACCUGGCUUAUAAUCAGGAGACCUGGUUCUACUCUUG